rnacentral:rRNA from 1 species
UACGGAGGGAGCUAGCGUUGUUCGGAAUUACUGGGCGUAAAGCGCGCGUAGGCGGCUUUGUAAGUUAGAGGUGAAAGCCCGGGGCUCAACUCCGGAACUGCCUUUAAGACUGCAUCGCUUGAAUCCAGGAGAGGUGAGUGGAAUUCCGAGUGUAGAGGUGAAAUUCGUAGAUAUUUCGGAAGAACACCAGUGGCGAAGGCGGCUCACUGGACUGGUAUUGACGCUGAGGUGCGAAAGCGUGGGGAGCAAACAGG